UCGUCAUUAAAACACACCCAUAACGGCGCUGCUCCGCUGGUUAAACAUUAAGCGGGGUAAAAAAAGACGCCCGCACUCAAUUACUACUUGCUGCUAAUAGUAAACUCCCGCCACUCGCGCAGCCAGCGCACGGUAGUCAGUAACGGGUAAAAAUUGUGAAAAUGCGUGAAAAUGCGUGAAAAGCAAAAUUGACAGCUCACUUUCGCAUAUCGAGAACCGAGUAGGCUGUCGUUAAUCGGCCAUGAACUCUGGUGGAGCAGAGUUCACUGGCAUUGGCAUUUGAUUUGAUUAUUGUAUAUCGGUAGCAAGUUAACCUUCACCUGUCUUCACUCCGCCCUCCCCCCACAGCCACGGAGAGUUUUGGCACAUCGAUUCGCUACGAAUAUACGGAGUUUAGAGCACCGGAACUGUUUCGCUACCUGUUUUGCUAUCUUGGGGAGUGAACAAUAAGUGCAAUCCGCUGGCGGCUGUGUUUGGUAGUUCGAUGGACAACAACACAACCUUGACAAAUCGGAUUUCUAAAAUGUGCAAUCAGCUGUCCUAAAUGUGUUGGUUAACUCGAUUAAAUCGGUUUCUUAUCGCAGAAGAGUGUCAAAUAUUGCCGAAGUAUGUGAACCGGUUUGGAGAAUCGAGUCGUUUUAAUAACGUUGUGGUAGGCGUGCUCGCAAAGUUUCAAUCGUAUUUGUUUAUGAUAAUGAUGAAACUCUUGUUAUUGUUUGUUUCCUUGUAGCGAAGGUGUUUUGCUGGAGAGGUCUCACCAUUUUUCAUUUGCGUUAUUAUCAUUUUCUUGUGCAUGCUUUUAACUGAUAGUAGCUAGGACAAAUACUAGAAGACAUUCAAAAUUUUCCCGCUUUCAUCACUAGUGUAAAAUAGCCAGCAUCUUCAUCAGAUCAUAACUUAUAUACUGCAACAAAUUAAAAGUACGUAUGGACACAAAAUGGACCAGUUCAAGAAGUUUUUGGUCAACGACC